rnacentral:rRNA from 1 species
CAGCCGCCGCGGGAAUACGAAGGGUGCAAGCGUUACUCGGAAUUACUGGGCGUAAAGCGUGCGUAGGUGGUGGUUUAAGUCCGUUGUGAAAGCCCUGGGCUCAACCUGGGAAUUGCAGUGGAUACUGGGUCACUAGAGUGUGUCAGAGGAUGGUGGAAUUCCCGGUGUAGCGGUGAAAUGCGUAGAGAUCGGGAGGAACAUCAGUGGCGAAGGCGGCCAUCUGGGACAACACUGACGCUGAGGCACGAAAGCGUGGGGAGCAAACAGGAUUAGAUACCCCCGUAGUCCCUGUCUCUUAUAC